GACGUAGGGCGCGAGCGUUGUCCGGAAUUAUUGGGCGUAAAGAGCUCGUAGGCGGUUUGUUGCGUCGGCUGUGAAAUCCCGAGGCUCAACCUUGGGUCUGCAGUCGAUACGAGCAAACUAGAGUGUUGCAGGGGAGACUGGAAUUCCUGGUGUAGCGGUGAAAUGCGCAGAUAUCAGGAGGGACACCGGUGGCGAAGGCGGGUCUCUGGGCAACAACUGACGCUGAGGAGCGAAAGCGUGGGGAGCGAACAGG
rnacentral:rRNA from 1 species